AACGAACGCUGGCGGCAUGCCUAACACAUGCAAGUCGAACGGGCACUUUCGGGUGCUAGUGGCGCACGGGUGCGUAACGCGUGGGAAUCUGCCCUGGGGUACGGAAUAACUCAGAGAAAUUUGAGCUAAUACCGUAUGAUGACGUAAGUCCAAAGAUUUAUCGCCCUGGGAUGAGCCCGCGUUGGAUUAGCUAGUUGGUGGGGUAAGAGCCUACCAAGGCGACGAUCCAUAGCUGGUCUGAGAGGAUGAUCAGCCACACUGGGACUGAGACACGGCCCAGGCUCCUACGGGGGGCAGCAGUGGGGAAUAUUGGACAAUGGGCGCAAGCCUGAUCCAGCAAUGCCGCGUGAGUGAUGAAGGCCUUAGGGUUGUAAAGCUCUUUUACCCGGGAAGAUAGUGACUGUACCGGGAGAAUAAGCCCCGGCUAACUCCGUGCCAGCAGCCGCCGUAA
rnacentral:rRNA from 1 species